GCAUGCUCUCUGAUUUUUCAAGGGCCUUUCUUCCAAUUGCAGCACCCAGUUACUAUCCAAGCUGGAUCAUUUUUUUCUGGUUAAAUUGCAUGAAAACAAUUGGCAUGCGAAACAAAACCAAUGCGAAACCGAAGUGUUUACACACAUUGCUAUGCACAUUGCCAGAAUUUAGUUGUGGUUGAUACGGUGAGCUUGAAUACAGUUUCAAAUGACUUUUUGGGCUUGUUCAGAACCUUUAUAACUUAAUUCAUGCGAGCAGUCACCGCAACACAAUAUUUAAAAUAAUUCAGGACGCCAUGACAACUGCAGGAACUUCGUGUGUCAGCGGCACCGAAGGUAGCAGACGUGAAAGGUGUCUUCAGAAUCUAAGUACGUUGGUAUGCACACACCGCGCUUUGCAGGUCAUAGACGAACAAUUUGACAAUAUAAGACAAACAGUGCCACCAAAGCAGACGUGUUAGCCGGAUGUGUUGAACUGUAUGCAUUAUCCCAGCAUGUUCUUACAGCGAGAAUUGAUUUUGAUUUUGCUAAUGCAGUGAACGCCGUUGACAGCUGCUUGCGCAGUCUGAGAACAAACAGUUCCACGAAUAUUUUAAGCGAGCUGAGCACCGGGCCAGUGAGCAGAGUCUGCAUAUGCUCACAUUGAGAAAAAGGCGACCGCAGAAAACACUGGAUCAGUUUUACGGUAGUCGCUCAGAAUCCUACCGCUUUGAAUCUCUAGAGGAGAAAUACAAAAGUCGAUUUUUCCCCAUUCUCUGGAUGCAUCAAUCGGUGAAAUUGAAAGGAGAUUUAUUCAGAAAAGGACAGGCAUACUGCGGACAGUGGAAUUAAUUUCCCGGAACUCCUGAAGGUGUGUAAGGCAGAAAUCCUCUUCUAAACCUGCGAGAGGGAACUGCUGGCCAGCCACACAGCACACCAAGGAGAGUUUUUAGAAUAAUGAAGGAGCAGGCUUCUAAGAGACGGCGAACACGAUCCGGAACUGUCGCCAGAGGCCAGCACAAACCCGGACUACACUGCACUUUGUUUCACGAGUAACUGUAUUUACACCACGAGCACUUUAGCACUCACUGUGGACUUGUGUUUUUUGUUACGUGUGGGUGUAUAAGAUCGGGGCCAUUAUUUCGGGACCAACCCAUGGAUUAAAACAGUGCAAUACACGCCACUGUAUUGUCUGUUUCUUGCAUCACACUUUGGAUUAUAAAAAUAAAUAACAUUGCACCUGGAUUACCGUUGUCUGUCUGUUCAUUGAUCA